rnacentral:rRNA from 1 species
UACGUAGGGCGCAAGCGUUAUCCGGAAUUAUUGGGCGUAAAGAGCUCGUAGGCGCUCGGUAAGUCGGGUGUGAAACCCCCAGGCUCAACCUGGGGACGCCACCCGAUACUGCUGUGGCUAGAGUCCAGUAGGGGAGUGUGGAAUUCCCGGUGUAGCGGUGAAAUGCGCAGAUAUCAGGAGGAACACCCAUUGCGAAGGCAGCUCGCUGGGACGUUACUGACGCUGAGACGCGAAAGCGUGGGGAGCAAACAGG